rnacentral:rRNA from 1 species
AAUAGAUACCCUGGUAGUCCACGCCGUAAACGAUGAGUGCUAAGUGUUAGGGGGUUUCCGCCCCUUAGUGCUGCAGCUAACGCAUUAAGCACUCCGCCUGGGGAGUACGGUCGCAAGACUGAAACUCAAAGGAAUUGACGGGGGCCCGCACAAGCGGUGGAGCAUGUGGUUUAAUUCGAAGCAACGCGAAGAACCUUACCAGGUCUUGACAUCCCGUUGACCACUGUAGAGAUAUAGUUUCCCCUUCGGGGGCAACGGUGACAGGUGGUGCAUGGUUGUCGUCAGCUCGUGUCGUGAGAUGUUGGGUUAAGCCCCGCAACGAGCGCAACCCUUGAUCUUAGUUGCCAUCAUUUAGUUGGGCACUCUAAGGUGACUGCCGGUGACAAACCGGAGGAAGGUGGGGAUGACGUCAAAUCAUCAUGCCCCUUAUGACCUGGGCUACACACGUGCUACAAUGGACGAUACAAACGGUUGCCAACUCGCGAGAGGGAGCUAAUCCGAUAAAGUCGUUCUCAGUUCGGAUUGUAGG